GAUGAACGCUGGCUACAGGCUUAACACAUGCAAGUCGAGGGGAAACGACGGGGAAGCUUGCUUCCCCGGGCGUCGACCGGCGCACGGGUGAGUAACGCGUAUCCAACCUGCCUCUGACUGAGGGAUAACCCGUCGAAAGUCAGCCUAAUACCUCAUGGCAUCGUCUGCGGGCAUCCAACGACGAUUAAAGAUUUCAUCGGUCAGGGAUGGGGAUGCGUCUGAUUAGCUUGUUGGCGGGGUAACGGCCCACCAAGGCGACGAUCAGUAGGGGUUCUGAGAGGAAGGUCCCCCACAUUGGAACUGAGACACGGUCCAAACUCCUACGGGAGGCAGCAGUGAGGAAUAUUGGUCAAUGGGCGGGAGCCUGAACCAGCCAAGUAGCGUGCAGGAUGACGGCCCUAUGGGUUGUAAACUGCUUUUAUGCGGGGAUAAAGUGCAGGACGUGUCCUUCAUUGCAGGUACCG
rnacentral:rRNA from 1 species